GAUGAACGCUGGCGGCGUGCCUAAUACAUGCAAGUCGAGCGAACAGAUGAGGAGCUUGCUCCUCUGACGUUAGCGGCGGACGGGUGAGUAACACGUGGAUAACCUGCCUAUAAGACUGGGAUAACUUCGGGAAACCGGAGCUAAUACCGGAUAAUAUAUUGAACCGCAUGGUUCAAUAGUGAAAGACGGUUUUGCUGUCACUUAUAGAUGGAUCCGCGCCGCAUUAGCUAGUUGGUAAGGUAACGGCUUACCAAGGCAACGAUGCGUAGCCGACCUGAGAGGGUGAUCGGCCACACUGGAACUGAGACACGGUCCAGACUCCUACGGGAGGCAGCAGUAGGGAAUCUUCCGCAAUGGGCGAAAGCCUGACGGAGCAACGCCGCGUGAGUGAUGAAGGUCUUCGGAUCGUAAAACUCUGUUAUUAGGGAAGAACAAAUGUGUAAGUAACUAUGCACGCCUUGACGGUACCUAAUCAGAAAGCCACGGCUAACUACGUG
rnacentral:rRNA from 1 species